GACGAACGCUGGCGGCGUGCUUAACACAUGCAAGUCGAACGGAAAGGCCCUGCUUUUGUGGGGUGCUCGAGUGGCGAACGGGUGAGUAACACGUGAGUAACCUGCCCUUGACUUUGGGAUAACUUCAGGAAACUGGGGCUAAUACCGGAUAGGAGCUCCUGCUGCAUGGUGGGGGUUGGAAAGUUUCGGCGGUUGGGGAUGGACUCGCGGCUUAUCAGCUUGUUGGUGGGGUAGUGGCUUACCAAGGCUUUGACGGGUAGCCGGCCUGAGAGGGUGACCGGCCCAAUGGGGACUGGGUUACGGCCCAGACCCUUCCGGAGGCAAGAGGUGGGAAUAAUUGCCAAAGGGGCGGAAGCUUAAUGCAGCAACCCGGGGUGGGGGAGGCCGCCUUUCGGGUGGUAAACGCCUUUGGCCUGUACCGAGGGGUGGGUGCGGUUAAUGGGAAAGAAGCACCGGCUAACUACGUG
rnacentral:rRNA from 1 species